CAGUAGCCGCGGUAAUACGGAGGGUGCAAGCGCUAAUCGGAAUUACUGGGCGUAAAGCGUGCGUAGGCGGUUCGUUAAGUCUGUUGUGAAAGCCCCGGGCUCAACCUGGGAAUGGCAAUGGAUACUGGCGAGCUAGAGUGUGUCAGAGGAUGGUGAAAUUCCCGGUGUAGCGGUGAAAUGCGUAGAGAUCGGGAGGAACAUCAGUGGCGAAGGCGGCCAUCUGGGACAACACUGACGCUGAGGCACGAAAGCGUGGGGAGCAAACAGGAUUAGAUACCCGGUAGUCCCUGUCUCUUAUACA
rnacentral:rRNA from 1 species